rnacentral:lncRNA from 7 species
AUUUGUCUAUGGGGAUUGUUUGCCGGAGGGGAAUUGUGACAUGCAGGACUGUAACUGCUGAAAUCCUGAGAAAGAUGAUCAUUUGGAGAAGUUUAGAGAGCUGUUUGUUUCACACUACUGAAGCUUGCACCUGGAUCCAAAUCAAAAUACAGGAGAGCUUUGCUGCAGAACACCACGUCUAGCCCUGGCAUCAGAAGAGCACUUAGCAACAGCAAAGCCUUCCAUUCUGAGAUGGCUGCUCUGUGGGAAGCAGUUCAGUACAUCCAAAUGGUUCUUCACUGAGAGGAGAGGAAACAUUCACUCCAUGGUCCUCUGGUGUCUGUGACUUUGUUCAGUGUUGCUCUCCUGCGUUAUAGAGUUCUACUCGUCAGUAACUUCCAUCACUGCAGACCCAAACACUUGCAAAGAACACAAGUGCUGGCAUUUCCUUUUUAAGGAGGAGUGUAUCAAAGUGCCAGGAGCACGGCCUGGUCCCAGCAGAGCAGUGGCAGAACUGGAACAGUGUGUGACAUAACUGAGUGCUGUGGGCUCACAGUGCCUUGGAGCAGUGUGGGAGCUGCAAAGAGUCCUUCGUCCUUCCCAGUUCCUCUCUGAGAAGUCAUUGGUGUUUGGUGCCAUCCAGAGAGCAAGUAUGGGAUCAAGAAAUACUUUUUCUCUAGGGUGUUAUUAUGUACUGUGGGGCUCCUCUUUCUGAUGUUUGAAGUACUGAAGCUGUGUGUAAAGUUGCCAUUUAUCUGUGCUUUUGUUUAGGAUGUUAACAUAAUAGAGUGGCUUCUUCAGGAGCUGUGUUCUUGACCACACUCUGAGCUGCUGUAAAUGCAGCAUCCAUCCACAGGUCAGGGAAAGCUGUUCAGAAUUUGUGAUGCACAAAUAAACAGCUGUUUGUCCAUUACAAAUAGCAUCCAGUUUUUGUGGAGUCUUCAAGAAAAAAUGAUUAUCUACUGCAACAUUAAGCUUAAUUAUAUCCCUGAGUUUCUGGGCAGUGUGUUAAGUGUGUCCUGUCUUUUGUUCUCUCACUGAAUACAUCACAGUGUGGUGGUCUUAACAAAAAAAGACAUUGUUUCUAUCUAAAGACUUCCUACUGGAAAAUGACAUCUUCAGGGUUCAUCUAUGGAGGGGAGGUUUGCUCAGCUCUAUGUGUACCCUCAGAACAAGAAGCAAAUGGCUCUCUAUUACCUCCUAAUAGAUGCUCUCCUAAAACCUUCAUUCUCUGCUUUGUGGCAGAAAAAUUAUCAGUGAUGCUUCCUGGGAGCAGCGUAUCUUCGUAUCUGUCAGAACUCCGUGCCAUUUUCUGAUCUCCAUUGGUACCAUUUUGGUGAGGAUGGAGAAUUCAGUGUGGGGAGGAAAAAGAGAAGGCUGUAGACUGGAAUGCUGAUU